rnacentral:rRNA from 1 species
GUUUGAUCCUGGCUCAGGACUAACGUUGGCGGCGUGCAUAACACAUGCAAGUUGAGCGUGGCAAUGGAUUUAUUCAUUGUCUAGCAGCGGACGGCUGAGUAAUGCACAGGAACGUACCCGGAAGUGGGGGAUAGCCCUUCGAAAGAAGGGGUAAUACCGCAUAUGCUCGCAAGAGCAAAGCUGCAAGGCGCUACCGGAGCGGCCUGUGUCCUAUCAGGUUGUUGGUGGGGUAAUUGCCUACCAAGCCUAUGACGGGUAACUGGUCUGAGAGGAUGACCAGUCAGAUCGGGACUGAGACACGGCCCGAACUCCUACGGGAGGCAGCAGUUGGGAAUCUUGCACAAUGGACGAAAGUCUGAUGCAGCGACGCCGCGUGGGGGAUGAAGGUUUUCGGAUUGUAAACCCCUUUUGCGAGGGAGUAAUUUUUGAACGUACCUCGCGAAUAAGCACCGGCUAACUCCGUGCCAGCAGCCGCGGUAAUACGGAGGGUGCAAACGUUGUCCGGAAUCACUGGGCGUAAAGAGCAUGUAGGUGGUUUGGUCAGUGGGCGAUUAAAGACCAGGGCUUAACCCUGGGAAUGUUACCCAUACUGCCUGACUUGAGGAGAGCAGGGGCAAGCGGAACUUUCGGUGUAGGAGUGAAAUCCGUAGAUAUCGAAAGGAACACCAAUGGCGAAGGCAGCUUGCUGGGCUCUAUCUGACACUGAGAUGCGAAAGCGUGGGGAGCGACAGGGAUUAGAUACCCCUUUAGUCCACGCCGUAAACGAUGCCGACUAGUUCUUGGAGGGUAUCGACCCCCUCUUGGAGCGAAGCUAACGC